CAGUCGCCGCGGUAAUACGUAGGUGGCAAGCGUUGUCCGGAAUUAUUGGGCGUAAAGGGCUCGCGGGCGGUUUCUUAAGUCUGAUGUGAGAGCCCCCGGCUCAACCGGGGAGGGUCAUUGGAAACUGGGAAACUUGAGUACAGAAGAGGAGAGUGGAAUUCCACGUGUAGCGGUGAAAUGCGUAGAGAUGUGGAGGAACACCAGUGGCGAAGGCGACUCUCUGGUCUGUAACUGACGCUGAGGAGCGAAAGCGUGGGGAGCGAACAGGAUUAGAUACCCGAGUAGUCCCUGUCUCUUAUAC
rnacentral:rRNA from 1 species